CGUACACUCCUGCGGGAGGCAGCAGUAGGGAAUCUUCCACAAUGGGUGCAAACCUGAUGGAGCAAUGCCGCGUGAGUGAAGAAGGUCUUCGGAUCGUAAAGCUCUGUUGUUAGAGAAGAACACGUGCUAGGUAACUACUAGCGCCUUGACGGUAUCUAACCAGAAAGUCACGGCUAACUACGUGCCAGCAGCCGCGGUAAUACGUAGGUGACAAGCGUUGUCCGGAUUUAUUGGGCGUAAAGGGAGCGCAGGCGGUCUGUUUAGUCUAAUGUGAAAGCCCACGGCUUAACCGUGGAACGGCAUUGGAAACUGACAGACUUGAAUGUAGAAGAGGAAAAUGGAAUUCCAAGUGUAGCGGUGGAAUGCGUAGAUAUUUGGAGGAACACCAGUGGCGAAGGCGAUUUUCUGGUCUAACAUUGACGCUGAGGCUCGAAAGCGUGGGGAGCGAACAGGAUUAGAAACCCUGGUAGUCC
rnacentral:rRNA from 1 species